rnacentral:rRNA from 1 species
AUGAACGCUGGCGGCGUGCCUAAUACAUGCAAGUCGAGCGAACAGACGAGGAGCUUGCUCCUCUGACGUUAGCGGCGGACGGGUGAGUAACACGUGGAUAACCUACCUAUAAGACUGGGAUAACUUCGGGAAACCGGAGCUAAUACCGGAUAAUAUAUUGAACCGCAUGGUUCAAUAGUGAAAGACGGUCUUGCUGUCACUUAUAGAUGGAUCCGCGCCGCAUUAGCUAGUUGGUAAGGUAACGGCUUACCAAGGCAACGAUGCGUAGCCGACCUGAGAGGGUGAUCGGCCACACUGGAACUGAGACACGGUCCAGACUCCUACGGGAGGCAGCAGUAGGGAAUCUUCCGCAAUGGGCGAAAGCUUGACGGAGCAACGCCGCGUGAGUGAUGAAGGUCUUCGGAUCGUAAAACUCUGUUAUUAGGGAAGAACAAAUGUGUAAGUAACUAUGCACGUCUUGACGGUACCUAAUCAGAAAGCCACGGCUAACUACGUG